UACAGAGGGGGCAAGCGUUGUUCGGAAUUACUGGGCGUAAAGCGCGUGUAGGCGGCUCGGCAAGUCGGGUGUGAAAGCCCUGGGCUUAACCUAGGAAGUGCACUCGAAACUGCCAAGCUUGAGUUCUGGAGAGGAAGGCGGAAUUCUCGGUGUAGAGGUGAAAUUCGUAGAUAUCGAGAGGAACACCGGUGGCGAAGGCGGCCUUCUGGACAGCAACUGACGCUGAGACGCGAAAGCGUGGGGAGCAAACAGG
rnacentral:rRNA from 1 species